GUCACUCGCCUAUAUUUAUAUUUAAAUUAUUAAAGCAAAGUUCUGAUUUAUUUACCUGCAAAUUAACGGCUACUAAUUUUAUGAUACUCGUUCAGCGACAUUUACAAGCAUUAUUGGCCAUCAAGUUGUUAUAUUAGCGGCGCUUAUGUAUGCCCUGUAAUUAUUGGUGUGAUAUUUCAAGCAUGCCAUAAACAAAAUUUCUGUAGGGUCUACCCGACCAGCAUAUACCCUGUACUCAGCGCGCAUUCGAAUGCGCCGAUUUAGCUGUGAGGGGCAAUGACUUGAAGUUUCCCAUAAGUUCCGCAUUUUCCUAAUAUCGAUAAUAAUCAAUUUUUAAACAUAUCUGGAGAACUGCAAGAGCUGGAUCCACAAAAUGUGUUUGGUAAUUUCCUUUAUGCUCUAUUUAUUUUCUGUGCCUCCUCAUAAGUGAAAAUGUAUAUUCAAUUUUGAAAGAUACAGACGUGAGCUUUGAUAUAUAGCUACAUAUUAAAGUCAAACGUAAUCCCUUAAA